GGCCAGCAUGGCAGAGUGGUUUGAGCAUUGGACUAUGAUUCUGAAGACCAGGGUUCGAUUUCCAGCUCGGCCA